rnacentral:lncRNA from 1 species
AUGAUGCCCAAUGGCUGUUUAGUCUGGACGACACGUGAUCGCCCUUCUUUGUAUCUACAAAAGAUGAGGGUAGUUUUCAAAGCCAACCAGUGGGACACGAACAAAGUAAAUAAGAACCGAAAGUUUAUUCAAGAAUUGUUGAACAGACAACCCGUAAGCAAAGAAAUAAAGUUAUCUACUGUAAGAACAAAGAAGGAUGUUUCAAAAAAGCGGAGGAAUGGUGGUGGAGAAGGAGGAGAGGAGAAAAGGAGUUUUGCUAGCUCUUCUAACUGAGGACUAUACAAUAACAGGCUGGCUCGGAUUUCAUGCCUCCAGGAGAACUAAACACAUUAUUUUAAGUACGAAGGUUACUACUGUUUCCCCCUAAAUUACAAUAAUUUAAAAUAAAGAAAGAGACAAAAGAAAAGCUGAUGGUACA